rnacentral:rRNA from 1 species
AACGAACGCUGGCGGCGUGUUUAAGACAUGCAAGUUGUACGAGGAAUCCAUGAAGCUUGCUUUGAGGAUUCCUAGUGGCGCACGGGUGAGUAACACGUGAGUUACAUGCCCUGCAGUGGGGAAUAGCCCGCCGAAAGGCGGAUUAAUACCCCAUGGUACCGCAAGGUUAAAGGUGGCUUCGGCUGCCGCUGCAGGAUUGGCUCGCGUCCUAUCAGCUUGUUGGUGAGGUAACGGCUCACCAAGGCUACGACGGGUACCUGGUCUGAGAGGACGAUCAGGCACACUGGAACUGAGACACGGUCCAGACACCUACGGGUGGCAGCAGUCGAGAAUAAUUCACAAUGGACGAAAGUCUGAUGGUGCAACGCCGCGUGGAGGAUGACGGUCCUCGGAUUGUAAACUCCUGUCAUCGGGGAGUAAGACCUGGGCAUCAAUAGUGCACAGGGUUGAUAGUACCCGAAGAGGAAGGGACGGCUAACUUCG